rnacentral:rRNA from 1 species
ACGUAGGUGGCAAGCGUUGUUCGGAGUUAUUGGGCGUAAAGGGCGCGUAGGCGGCUUGUUAAGUCGGUUGUGAAAGCCCGGGGCUCAACCCCGGAGAGUCGACCGAUACUGGCGAGCUAGAGUACGGAAGAGGUAGCUGGAAUUCCCGGUGUAGCGGCGAAAUGCGUAGAUAUCGGGAGGAACACCUGAGGCGAAGGCGGGCUACUGGGCCGAUACUGACGCUGAUGCGCGAAAGCCAGGGGAGCAAACGGGA